CCUACGGGUGGCAGCAGUGAGGAAUAUUGGUCAAUGGGCGAGAGCCUGAACCAGCCAAGUCGCGUGAGGGAGUACUGCCCUAUGGGUUGUAAACCUCUUUUGUCGGGGAGCAAAAGCCGGACGUGUCCGGCUGUGAGAGUACCCGAAGAAAAAGCAUCGGCUAACUCCGUGCCAGCAGCCGCGGUAAUACGGAGGAUGCGAGCGUUAUCCGGAUUUAUUGGGUUUAAAGGGUGCGCAGGCGGAUUUUUAAGUUAGCGGUAAAAUCGUGGGGCUCAACCCCAUCCAGCCGUUGAAACUGGGGAUCUAGAGUGUGCGAGAGGUAUGCGGAAUGCGUGGUGUAGCGGUGAAAUGCAUAGAUAUCACGCAGAACCCCGAUUGCGAAGGCAGCAUACCGGUGCACAACUGACGCUCAGGCACGAAAGCGUGGGUAUCGAACAGGAUUAGAUACCCUUGUAGUC
rnacentral:rRNA from 1 species